rnacentral:rRNA from 1 species
UACGAAGGGUGCAAGCGUUACUCGGAAUUACUGGGCGUAAAGGGUGCGUAGGCGGGUCUUUAAGUCAGGGGUGAAAUCCUGGAGCUCAACUCCAGAACUGCCUUUGAUACUGAAGAUCUUGAGUUCGGGAGAGGUGAGUGGAACUGCGAGUGUAGAGGUGAAAUUCGUAGAUAUUCGCAAGAACACCAGUGGCGAAGGCGGCUCACUGGCCCGAUACUGACGCUGAGGCACGAAAGCGUGGGGAGCAAACAGG